rnacentral:rRNA from 1 species
UACGAAGGGGGCUAGCGUUGCUCGGAAUGACUGGGCGUAAAGGGCGCGUAGGCGGCGCAGUUAGUCAGGCGUGAAAUUCCUGGGCUCAACCUGGGGACUGCGCUUGAUACGGCUGUGCUUGAGGAUGGAAGAGGCUCGCGGAAUUCCCAGUGUAGAGGUGAAAUUCGUAGAUAUUGGGAAGAACACCGGUGGCGAAGGCGGCGAGCUGGUCCAUUACUGACGCUGAGGCGCGACAGCGUGGGGGAGCGAACAGG